CAUCAGUUUGGUGAUAAGAACAGUAAUUCUUGUUCACUAAAUUAAUAGAUUUUAUGUAUCUCAAAAACUUAUUUCAUUCAUUUCUUGUCUUUACAGCCUUGGAGUCCAGGCAGCCAGGGGUCCAGGCAACCGGGACAGGCCAAAUCCACAGAACUUCACUACCCACUUCUCUAUGGCGUUGGUGGCCCUUGGGUCCCAGGCUUCAAUGUUUCUUUGCCACUCUUUCUGCAAAUAGUUAUUGAGUCCCUAUGAUGUUGCAAGUCACUGCACCAGGCACUGGAGAGACUUCAGUGAAUAAGACAGAUCAAGAAGCUCCUCUCGAGAUCUGGGGGAAUGUAUAGGAUUUAAAAACUGGGAGAUGGAGUGGCAAAAAAGGAAGGGGAGGAGGAAGAGGAAAAGGAGAUGGUCCAGGGAAGCCAGAGCCCCCAGCAAUAUGGCUGUCAUGGGCUAAGAGCACCUGCAUACGGGGAGAGCGCCAGUAACAGCAGCCAUGGCUCUUCCAUCCAGCAACUACUGAAUGAGAACCUAUCACGUGCCAGGCACUGUUCCAGGGUAUGGGAUACAUGUCUGAAGAAACAUAGAGACCCCUGCCCUCGUGAAGCUCACAGCCCAGUGGGUAAGCCAGAUGCUAUAAAGUCAUCGCAAUGGUGGCCUUCAGAGUGUGUUGACCACGCAACCCAGGAGUACAAAGUGUUUGAUACUGUUCCUCCUCUGUAAGUUUAUAUAUGUAUAAAUUAUAUACAUGUGCAUUUAUACUAUUCUAUAUUAUGUGCAUUUAAAUCUAUCCCCAAAUAGAAAAAUUUAAAGAAUGAAUUUGAAUAGAUACAUAGAAGUUCUAGUAUUUUUUUCCCUCUCCCCAGUUGAAUUGUAAUAGGAAUAGAUUUGGAGCAUUCACUUUGGAGAAUUCUGGACCAGCCACCCUAUGAGCUGGGAAAGUUAGAAAUUCUGAGCUCAAUCUUUACGUUAUAUUUAUUCUGAGUUGCAGCCCUCUCUUAUAAUAUCAGUACUUCAUUCAACUUUUUAAAAAAAUUGUGGCAAAAUUUACAUAACACAAAAUGUACCAUCUUAACCAUUUUUACGUGUAUAGUUCAGUGGCAUUAAGCACAUUCACACUGUUGUGCGACCAUCACCACCAUCCAUCUCUAGAACCUUUUCAUCUCCCUAGAUUGAAACUCCACAUCCAUUAAGUAUAACGCUCCAUCCCCCGGGGGCCCUGGUACUCACCAUUCUACUUUCUGCCUCCGUAAAUUUGAUGACCCUAGGUCAAUAAUUAUUUUUAAGCUCCUAUGAUGACUCAAGAGGUAGUUUGGCACGUGGGAUUCAGUGGUGAGCAAAGCAAAUGAGGUGUCCGCCCUCCAACCUCCAAUAAAGUCUGCUUUACUAACCUAACCUAGUACUGCUUUAGAUCGGUGUCUUUGGCAAGGCCAGAAGGUGGGCUGUAUCUAAGCAUGUGGCCCACUGUGGUAGACAGGGCAGGUGAGCUAAGAAGGGGUGGGAGUGGUGAGGCUGAAAUUGAGUGAGAUGUGACAGUUGACCACCUGAUAAAAGAGAAAUACCUUCCCAAGGAAUUCCUAAAAAAUUGGGGGAGAGGUGGGGCUUCCUGUGUUGUGUAGGUUGAGGUUUGUAUUUAUCUUAAUUGAAUAACACAGGAGAGGUAAUCCCAGAAGGCUGGUGGACGUGAGAACAUUCAGGUGUCAUUUACUAUCAGUAACCUUCAAAUGACUCAGGCUUCAGGGCUUGGGAGGAUCAGGUUUCCAGGAGAGAGACCCGGAGAGGGAUGCGGGCUAUCCUCCCAGGGUGAAGCUUGGCUGGGUGGCUGAAAGCCUCCCAUACUCUGCCCCUCUGCCUGCCUUUACCUUAGGAUAAAAUCAUACAUUUCCAAUUACAGGGCUGGUCAAAAAUCAAUACAAAGUUGGGAGAGAACAGAUCAUUUUUCUUACGGAAGUAACCGUUUUCAUUAAUUUUUCAUUAGUGCUGCCUUUGUUUUGCUAUCCAUCACUGGUGGAGCCCUAGCCUGCAUUUCAGCCAGUGUGCAUGUUUCUUGGAUUCAGGAGAUAGUGGUUGAUAAAACCAGCAGGUUCCUGCCAGGAUUACUGCCUGUGGAACCGGUUUACGUGACUGUUCUAAGACCAUUAUGUUGGUUAAAAUGUGCUUAAAACUAACAGGUUUCCACUCAGCAAAACUCAGUCCUAACUCUAUCGUGGACAUUCUAUCUAUAGAAUAAGGUUCAGCCUCUGUUGCAUUUAUUUUCAGGGGUGUAUUUGUCAGUCUGUUCGUGGGCACUUUCGGCAUUGAUUGAUGUGAUGGGUCCAUUUGGCUGGUGCACUUGGCUAAGGGCUGC